CGCUCGUAGUCGGAUUUCGGGGCGGGCCUGCCGGUCUGCCGUUCGGUACGUACUGGCGGGCGCGUCCUUCCUUUCGGAGACCGCGCCUCCUCUUAACUGAGCGGGCGCGGGAGACGGAUCGUUUACUUUGAAAAAAUCAGAGUGUUUCAAGCAGGCAGCUCGCUCUUGCAUGGAUUAGCAUGGGAUAAUGAAAUAGGACUCUGGUGCUAUUUUGUUGGUUUCGAACACCGGAGUAAUGGUCAACAGGGACAGUCAGGGGCACUCGUAUUCCGCCGAGAGAGGUGAAAUUCUCAGACCAGCGGAAGACGAACCACUGCGAAAGCAUUUGCCAGGGAUGUUUUCACUGAUCAAGAACGAAAGUUAGGGGAUCGAAGACGAUCAGAUACCGUCGUAGUCUUAACCAUAAACCAUGCCGACUAGGGAUUGGAGGCUGUUCCUUUUGUGACUCCUUCAGCACCUUUCGGGAAACUAAAGUCUUUGGGUUCCGGGGGGAGUAUGGUCGCAAGGCUGAAACUUAAAGGAAUUGACGGAAGGGCACCACCAGGAGUGGAGCCUGCGGCUUAAUUUGACUCAACACGGGGAAACUUACCAGGUCCAGACAUUGUGAGGAUUGACAGAUUGAGAGCUCUUUCUUGAUUCGAUGGGUGGUGGUGCAUGGCCGUUCUUAGUUGGUGGAGUGAUUUGUCUGGUUAAUUCCGUUAACGAACGAGACCGCAGCCUGCUAAAUAGUUCCGCGAACACUUGGUUGGCGGCCAACUUCUUAGAGGGAC
rnacentral:rRNA from 1 species